rnacentral:siRNA from 1 species
CAGUAGGAAUGAUUCUCGUG